UCGAUGCAUCGCGAAGAACCUUACCUCAUCUCUUGACAUCCAGAGAACUUUCCAGAGAUCGGAUUGGUGCCUUCGGGAACUCUGAGACAGGUGCUGCAUGGCUGUCGUCAGCUCGUGUUGUGAAAUGUUGGGUUAAGUCCCGCAACGAGCGCAACCCUUAUCCUUGUUUGCCAGCGAGUAAUGUCGGGAACUCCAGGGAGACUGCCGGUGAUAAACCGGAGGAAGGUGGGGACGACGUCAAGUCAUCAUGGCCCUUACGAGUAGGGCUACACACGUGCUACAAUGGCGCAUACAGAGGGCGGCCAACUUGCGAAAGUGAGCGAAUCCCAAAAAGUGCGUCGUAGUCCGGAUUGGAGUCUGCAACUCGACUCCAUGAAGUCGGAAUCGCUAGUAAUCGUGGAUCAGAAUG
rnacentral:rRNA from 1 species